rnacentral:rRNA from 1 species
GACGACGCUGGCGGCGUGCUUAACACAUGCAAGUCGAACGGACCUUCGGGUUAGUGGCGAACGGGUGAGUAACACGUGGGUGAUCUGCCCUGCACUUUGGGAUAAGCCUGGGAAACUGGGUCUAAUACCGGAUAGGACUACGGCUCUUAUGGGUUGUGGUGGAAAGCUUUUGCGGUGUGGGAUGGGCCCGCGGCCUAUCAGCUUGUUGGUGGGGUAAUGGCCUACCAAGGCGACGACGGGUAGCCGGCCUGAGAGGGUGACCGGCCACACUGGGACUGAGAUACGGCCCAGACUCCUACGGGAGGCAGCAGUGGGGAAUAUUGCACAAUGGGCGAAAGCCUGAUGCAGCGACGCCGCGUGAGGGAUGACGGCCUUCGGGUUGUAAACCUCUUUCAGCACAGACGAAGCGUAAGUGACGGUAUGUGCAGAAGAAGGACCGGCCAACUACGUG